rnacentral:rRNA from 1 species
AAAAAUCCGGGGGGCUGAGCUGAGGCAUGAUGACGAGGAACCACGGUUCCGAAGUGAUUGAUACCAAGCUUCCAGGAAAAGCCACUAAGCUUCAGUCUAGAGUUGACCGUACCGCAAACCGACACAGGUGGGCAGGAUGAAAAUUCUAAGGCGCUUGAGAGAACUCAGGAGAAGGAACUCGGCAAAUUAACACCGUAACUUCGGGAGAAGGUGUGCCCCGGUAGCGUGUAGAGACUUGCUCUCGAAGCGCGAUGGGGUUGCAGUGAAAUGGUGGCUGCGACUGUUUAAUAAAAACACAGCACUCUGCAAACACGAAAGUGGACGUAUAGGGUGUGACGCCUGCCCGGUGCCGGAAGGUUAAGUGAUGGGGUGCAAGCUCUUGAUCGAAGCCCCGGUAAACGGCGGCCGUAACGAUAACGGUCCUAAGGUAGCGAAAUUCCUUGUCGGGUAAGUUCCGACCUGCAUGAAUGGCGUAACGAUGGCCACACUGUCUCCUCCUGGGACUCAGCGAAGUUGAAAUGUUUGUGAAGAUGCAAUCUACCCGCGGCUAGACGGAAAGACCCCAUGAACCUUUACUGUAGCUUUGCAUUGGACUUUGAACCGGUUUGUGUAGGAUAGGUGGGAGACUGUGAAGCCGGGACGCUAGUUACGGUGGAGUCAACCUUGAAAUACCACCCUGAUUUGUUUGAGGUUCUAACCUUGGUCCGUGAAUCCGGAUCGGGGACCGUGCAUGGUAGGCAGCUUGACUGGGGCGGUCUCCUCCCAAAAGGUAACGGAGGAGUACGAAGGUACGCUUAGGGCGGUCGGACAUCGCCCACAAAGUGCAAUGGCAAAAGCGUGCUUGACUGCGAGACCCACAAGUCGAGCAGGUACGAAAGUAGGUCAUAGUGAUCCGGUGGUUCUGUAUGGAAGGGCCAUCGCUCAACGGAUAAAAGGUACUCUGGGGAUAACAGGCUAAUUCCUCCCAAGAGUUCAUAUCGACGGGGGAGUUUGGCACCUCGAUGUCGGCUCAUCACAUCCUGGGGCUGUAGUCGGUCCCAAGGGUAUGGCUGUUCGCCAUUUAAAGUGGUACGCGAGCUGGGUUUAAAACGUCGUGAGACAGUUUGGUCCCUAUCUGCCGUGGGCGCUGGAAAUUUGAAGGGGGCUGCUCCUAGUACGAGAGGACCGGGGUGGACGAACCUCUGGUGUACCGGUUAUGACGCCAGUCGUAUCGCCGGGUAGCUAAGUUCGGAAGAGAUAAACGCUGAAAGCAUCUAAGCGUGAAACUCGCCUUAAGAUAAGAUUUCCCGGAGUCUUGAACUCCCUGAAGGGUCGUCGAAGACCACGACGUUGAUAGGUCAGGUGUGGAAGCGCAGCAAUGCGUUAAGCUAACUGAUACUAAUUGCCCGUGCGGCUUGAUCCU